rnacentral:misc_RNA from 1 species
AAGCAACCAACAAAAAAAAAAACAACAAACACAAAACAAAAACAAAACAAAACACCAAAAAAAAAAAAAACAAAAAACAAAAACAAAACCAAAAACACAAGCCCCCCCCCCCCCCCCCCCCGCCCCCCCCCCCCGCUGGGGGGUUGGUCCCCGGGCCCUCACGUAAAAUCCUUCCGUAGGUGAACCUGCGGAAGGAUCAUAUACGGGGUGAGGGGCCUCUGGGUCCAACCUCCCACCCGUGUCUAUCGUACCUUGUUGCUUCGGCGGGCCCGCCGUUUCGACGGCCGCCGGGGAGGCCUCGCGCCCCCGGGCCCGCGCCCGCCGAAGACCCCAACAUGAACGCUGUUCUGAAAGUAUGCAGUCUGAGUUGAUUAUCAUAAUCAGUUAAAACUUUCAACAACGGAUCUCUUGGUUCCGGCAUCGAUGAAGAACGCAGCGAAAUGCGAUAAGUAAUGUGAAUUGCAGAAUUCAGUGAAUCAUCGAGUCUUUGAACGCACAUUGCGCCCCCUGGUAUUCCGGGGGGCAUGCCUGUCCGAGCGUCAUUGCUGCCCUCAAGCACGGCUUGUGUGUUGGGCCCCCGUCCCCUCUCCCGGGGACGGGCCCGAAAGGCAGCGGCGGCACCGCGUCCGGUCCUCGAGCGUAUGGGGCUUUGUCACCCGCUCUGUAGGCCCGGCCGGCGCCAGCCGACACCCAACUUUAUUUCUAAGGUUGACCUCGGAUCAGGUAGGGUUCCCCGGCCCCUGAACUUAAGCAUAUCAAUAAGGGGAGGAAAUUAUUUUAUUUUUCUUUUUUUUUUUUUUUUUUUUUUUUUUUUUUGUAUCUUGUUUUGUUCUGUGGGUUCUGACGUUUCUAUUGUU